GCUAUACGAUAACACUUACGAGUCAAAGCAGCAAUGCGCUUGGAGAGGAGUUCGCGGAGAUUAGUUAGUUGGGGGGUAAUGGCCACCAAGAGAUGAUCUGUAUCCGGCUGAAGGGGCACGGACUGGAAUGAAAAGGCCAAUCCUACGGGAGGAGUGGGGAAUUUUGGCUGGGGGAAACCUGAGCAGCAACGCCGGUGGAGGAUGAAAUAUCUUGGUAUGUAAACUCCUUUCGAUGGGGAAGAUAAUGACGGUACCCAUAGAAGAAGCCCCGGUAACUUCGUGCCAGCAGCCGCGGUAAUACAGAGGGUGCGAGCGUUGUUCGGAAUUAUUGGGCGUAAAGGGCGCGUAGGCGGCGCGGUACAGUCACUGUGAAAUCUCCGGGCUCAAUCGGAGCCUG
rnacentral:rRNA from 1 species